CCCCAUAGCCAUGUUAGGAACAUGAGGAAAUCUCGUCCUGACAUGAGCAAAGUCGAAGAUCCGGUUCUUUUAGACCGGAUGGGGGGAGAGGCCCUCACAACGACCUUUAUGUGCCCCCGCAGCCUCGUCGGGAAUAGAAGGAGAACCUCGUCCUAACCUGAGCUGAGAUCGACUACGUCAAGGAUAGAAGGAGGACCUCGUCCUGACAAUGACAAAAACCUGAUCACCCAAUAUGAUCGGAUAAAGGAAAAAGCCCCCAAAAUGACACCUCCACACCUCUAUGCGACCCCACGAAAAGCAAAGGGAGGACCCUC
rnacentral:lncRNA from 1 species